rnacentral:sRNA from 1 species
ACAAGAACAAGAAAACGCAGCAAUCCAAUAAAAACAAUACGUAUCGGCUCUGACAUAACAAGAACAACACGGACAGAGGCGCAGCUAACAGAUUUUUUUGGAGUGGAUAGCUUUUAGAGGCCCUUGCGAAAGGGUACUCGCAACCAGGCAGAGAACAAUAAAACUACCUUCAGGUAGCUCCGGAACUGGUUGGAUCGACACGAUAAAAGCGAUAUCAGCGCUCAAAAAAAUACGUUUGCUCUUGAUCCCGAAUGGGGGUCGCUCAAAAAAGAUGUGAAGGGCCAGGUCGCCAAAAACAAUAAAAGGCCUCCCGAAAAACAAAAAAGAGCAUGCAAAGAAACCUUGAAGGGGAGCCCAGGCUCCCCUUCGUGCUUUCCGGCAUUCCCCACAAUCUCCCUCC